rnacentral:tRNA from 1 species
GUUAGGGUGGCAGAGCAUGGUAAUUGCAAAAGGCCUAAGCCCUUUUAACAGGGGUUCAAAUCCCCUCCCUAACU